GACGAACGCUGGCGGCGUGCCUAAUACAUGCAAGUUGAACGCAGUUGCGAACGGGUGAGUAACGCGUAGGUAACUGCCUCAUAGCGGGGGAUAACUAUUGGAAACGAUAGCUAAUACCGCAUACUGUGAGAUGGACCUGCGUUGUAUUAGCUAGUUGGUGAGGUAAAGGGUCACCAAGGCGACGAUACAUAGCCGACCUGAGAGGGUGAUCGGCCACCCUGGGAUUGAGAGAAGGCCCAGACUCCUACGGGAGGCAGCAGUAGGGAAUCUUGGGCAACAGAAGGGGGUGUGACCGAGCAACGCCCAGAGAGCGAAGAAGGUUUUCGGGUCGUACAGCGCUGUUGUUCGAGAAGCGGGAACGAACGAGAAAGGGACGGCUAACUACGUGACAGCAGCCGCGGUAAUUC
rnacentral:rRNA from 1 species